rnacentral:rRNA from 1 species
GUUGAACGCUGGCGGCGUGCCUAAUACAUGCAAGUCGAGCGAACACACGAAGCACUUUCUUCUUUUACUUUCGCGUCGCACAGGUGUGUGACACGUCGGUAACCCUCCUCUAUGACUGGGAUUACUUCCUGAAACCGGUGCCUAUUCCCGCUUAUCUUUCCAACCGCAUGGUUCGAUACUUUAAGAUGUCUUUCCUUUCACUUUUCGCUGGUCCUGCUCCGUAUUAGCUAGUUGGUAAGGUAACGGCUUACCCAGGCAACGAUACGUAGCCGACCUGAGAGGGUGAUCGGCCACACUGGAACUGAGACACGGUCCAGACUCCUACGGGAGGCAGCAGUAGGGAAUAUUGCGCAAUGGGCGAAAGCCUGACGGAGCAACGCCGCGUGAAUGAUGAAGGUCUUCGGAUCGUAAAGCACUGUUAGUAGGGAAGAACAAACGAGAAAGUAAAUGCGCACGUAUUGACGGUACCUAAUCAGAAAGCCACGGCUAACUACGUG